rnacentral:misc_RNA from 1 species
GAUGAAGAACGUAGUGAAAUGCGAUAAGUAAUGUGAAUUGCAGAAUUCAGUGAAUCAUCGAAUCUUUGAACGCACCUUGCGCCCCUUGGCUAUUCCGAGGGGCAUGCCUGUUUGAGUAUCAUGAACGCCUCAACUCCCUCACGGUUUUCCGUGACGAAGCUUGGACUUUGGAGGUUUUUGCUGGCCUGCGGGUUGGCUCCUCUCAAACAAAUCAGCUUGCCAGUGUUUGGUGGCGUCACGGGUGUGAUAACUAAUCUACGCUUGUGGUCGUCUGCUGAGUGCAGCCUUCGACGAUGGAGGUUUUCUGGAGCUUAUAAACGUCUCUCCUCAGCGAAGACAGCUUUUUGAAUGUUCGAUCUCAAAUCAGGUAGGACUACCCGCUGAACUUAAGCAUAUCAAUAAGCGGAGGA